rnacentral:rRNA from 1 species
GACGAACGCUGGCGGCGUGCCUAAUACAUGCAAGUAGAACGCUGAAGGAGGAGCUUGCUCUUCUGGAUGAGUUGCGAACGGGUGAGUAACGCGUAGGUAACCUGCCUGGUAGCGGGGGAUAACUAUUGGAAACGAUAGCUAAUACCGCAUAAGAGUAGAUGUUGCAUGACAUUUGCUUAAAAGGUGCAAUUGCAUCACUACCAGAUGGACCUGCGUUGUAUUAGCUAGUUGGUGGGGUAACGGCUCACCAAGGCGACGAUACAUAGCCGACCUGAGAGGGUGAUCGGCCAAACUGGGACUGAGACACGGCCCAGACUCCUACGGGAGGCAGCAGUAGGGAAGCUUCGGCAAUGGACGGAAGUCUGACCGAGCAACGCCGCGUGAGUGAAGAAGGUUUUCGGAUCGUAAAGCUCUGUUGUAAGAGAAGAACGAGUGUGAGAGUGGAAAGUUCACACUGUGACGGUAUCUUACCAGAAAGGGACGGCUAACUACGUG